AAGAUCAUACUUUUAGGGAUCAUUUCUAAAGUUGGUCUUGCCGGGACAUUGAGCAAAAUUGAACGGCACGAAAACCAUGAUGACGAGAUUCAGUCACUUCCUCUGAGCGUGAAGUUGAUCUCGAGACAGUCAUCGCUUGAGUGAUUGCCUCAGUAGAUCGUUGAUGAUCGUUCCGCUCCUCCCACAGCGGGGAGCCGGAGGAGGUCGUGACAAUCCGAGUGGU